AGGGAGGAAGGGGGGAAAUAAAUUCCAGAGAGUCUUGCAACGCCAGAACUUUCCUGAGCUCGCGCGCGCGCGCGCGCGUGUGUGUGUGUUCUGGGGAAGGGGGGAAGUUUGUUGGAAUAUGGUUGGGGAAAUGGAAAAUAAGGAGCGACCAAAACCGACCCCAGACUAUCUCAUGCAACUGAUGAACGACAAGAAGCUGAUGAGUAGCCUGCCCAACUUCUGCGGCAUUUUCAACCAUCUGGAGCGGUUGCUGGACGAAGAGAUCAGCAGAGUGCGGAAAGAUAUGUACAACGACACAUUAAAUGGCAGCACAGAGAAAAGAAGUACAGAAUUACCAGAUGGUGUGGGGCCUAUUGUACAAUUACAAGAGAAACUUUAUGUGCCUGUUAAAGAAUAUCCAGAUUUCAACUUUGUUGGAAGAAUUCUUGGACCCAGGGGACUAACAGCAAAACAGUUGGAAGCGGAGACUGGAUGCAAGAUUAUGGUGCGAGGGAAGGGCUCAAUGAGGGACAAGAAGAAGAUGUUGCAGGAGGAGCAAAACAGAGGCAAACCCAACUGGGAACACCUGAAUGAAGACCUGCAUGUAUUAAUCACUGUGGAAGAUGCACAGAACAGAGCAGAAAUCAAGCUAAAGAGGGCAGUGGAGGAAGUUAAAAAGUUACUUGUACCAGCAGCAGAGGGAGAGGAUAACCUUAAGAAGAUGCAACUGAUGGAAUUAGCGAUACUGAACGGCACUUAUAGAGAUGCCAACAUCAAAUCACCUGCCCUUGCCUUUUCUCUUGCAGCGACAGCCCAAGCUCCACGGAUCAUUACAGGGCCCACGUCAGUUCUUCCACCAUCUGCUUUGCGAGCCCCCACGCCAGCUGGUCCAACUAUCAUGCCUCUAAUUAGGCAAAUUCAGACAGCAACAGUCAUGCCUAAUGGAUCCCCACAUCCAAAUGCAUUAGUGCCUUCCGCACCUGAAGCCGGUCUAAUCUAUACUCCUUACGACUACCCGUACACACUGGCACCAGCUACUUCCAUCCUGGAGUAUCCCAUUGAGCCGAGUGGAAUUUUAGCUUAUAUUGGGCUGGUCAAUGCUGGUGGUUCCAUUCAGAACGGCGAGGGCUUACCCAUUUAACCUGCAGUAAGUCUGGGACCUCUGUGCAAGUGCAUUAGGUGGCAGAGUGAAAGGUAUGGCAUUCCCAACGAAAGGCUAAGAAUUCAAGGACCCAUGUCACUGAAACCCUCAUCAGAUCUGAACUUUAACAAAUGCUUAGUUUCACAGCAGCCAUGGACAAAAUAUGCCGGGCCUGACUGUCAGUGAGAUGCUAGCAUUAUGUGCGUGUGUAUGUGUACGUGUGAGUGUGUGCGCGUGUGUGCACGCAUCACAUUUGGAAACCAGUUGGGUCAAUUAGUUAUGAUUCUGGCCUAGUGCUCUUCCUAUCAUUUUGUUCCAUCUAUCCCAGAGGAAGCACAUUCAGUGUGUUUCAUUGCCUGCUUGGUGUAGGGUAUUUGCUUUAUACAUCACCUAAUUCAUUGCAAUUUGUAGCUAGUCGCUUCUGAGAUAAGCGUGUAUUUUUUAGGUCAUGCAAUUGCUGCAAAAAAUUUUAAGUUUGUAGAGGUUUUAUUUAAAAAAAAGAACUGAUGUCAAUAUAGAUUCAGUGUUAUGAAUUAAAACGUAUUUCUCUGCAAGGUGCACUCCACUGAUUAUGUGACUAGUAAAACUUAAUUGUGCUUGCAUCUAAUUAAGUAAUCUCAUUUCAUAUGGUGGGAUUUUUAACAAGUGGAUAAGGACAGUGGGUUAAGUCUAUGUCUUUUGAAACGGAAUGCAAUAUUAACAUGCACAGUUGUACUCAAUUAAGUAAUUUCUGCUUAAAAUGUUCGAGUUAUAAAGGUGCUGUGCCUUAACCUGUUUUUUUAACUGCUACCAUGCUGUAUUUUCUAAUGUAAAUCCAUUUUGAUCUGCUGUUGAAAUGCUAUUAAUAUGUUAACCAAUCACUUCCUAGGAAAUUCCUCUAACCAUGUGUUGCAAAUGUUGCAAUUUAACUAGGUGCAGUGGCUACUAAAGUUCGAAGGCGCGAUAUGCGGGUCCUUCCUUAUCAAAGGAUUGUGACCAUAGACAGAGCUGCCAUUGGCAACUAACCUAUGACCUUCUGACCUCUGAACUCUUCACCCAAUGAUGACCUGACCAUGCCUGCCUGCUGAUCAAUUAACUGGUGACCGCCUUUGCUCGCCUGUCUUCAGUGCAGCGAGCUGGGGCACUGUCCGAUCGUCUUACUGCCUAACAAUGAAAAAAAAAAACACACACACACACACACACACCACAAAAUUAUUCAUCCACUCAGUUUUUCUGGUUGGGUGAAUGGUGAGGUCUUGGAACCUGCACUGAAUAAUACUAAAGCAAUAAAGUUCAAUUCAUCCCUCACUGUUCAUCAGUGAUCAUCAUUUUGUCACCCUCCCUAAUGAACGGCAAGAAGGCCAAGGACGCAGGAGAUGAAUGUCUAUGAAUAGCUAUUAACAAAGGCAGUGACUGUGGGAGUUUGAAGAACAUUUUUUUCUCAUGCCUAAGUCACAAGUUUCUUGAAUGUAAUGUGCUGUGAUGAUGCAUCAUGCAUGAACCUUUGCUCAGUGAUGUCAUCGGUGAAGGAGUUUUGAACGAGUUUCAAUAUUCCAAAUUUGGCCAAACUUUACUUUUGUUCCGUUUGUGCUCCUCCAGGACACAGAUGCCAGUUGAAACCUUUCAGGAAUUUGACCCGGCAAGUUCAGAAUGUCCCUCAACCUAAUGCUUGAGCAAUAUAAAGAACUGAACAAGAACCAAAGGGUGUUGUGCGGAGGACUGAAUUAGUCAUGAUUUAACAAACAGAAUACCCAUUAGAUGCUAAGCAAUCUUUCGGCAACAAGGUCCAUGCAUUAUGUGUCACAAUACUGGGCAAAAUUGUUGAAUCUUAUUUUUCUUCCUUGUAUAGAUUUGUUUUCUCAAGGAUGUAAAGCCAUGCUUGCCUAUUUACUAUAUUAAUGUAUUGAAAUUGUAGAUAUGCAUAAUGCAUUGAACAGACCACAAAAAGAACAAAAAAGUAGAUACUUUUACUAUACAAGGGUGCUGGUAAGAAAAAUAUAUAUUUUUGACAGUGUAGUCUUUUAUACUUUCAAGUAUUAAAUAGAACCUGAACAAAGAAACCCUUUAUUUAAUUAAAUGAUUUCCUGGUAGUUGUGAACAAAGCAAAACAGGAAACCAAACCGCCUUUUUUCCCUCCCCCCUCCCUCCUUUUUCACCCCACCCCACCCUCCUGUUAAAUUGUAAAGAUUGGAAAACGUCUAAAGAAAGAAGUGCCUUAUUUUAUUCAUGGUCAUUUUGUCUGGCGUCUCAUAUUAAUCAUCUUGCUGAAAGCAAGGUCUCAAAUACAUGCAAACAGAGCUGCCCAGUGCUCACAUGAAAGGGGUCUGCGUGUGAAUAAAAAUGAGCUGGCAGUUGUGUUGUCUGAUAAGUGCUACAUCACUGAACCCAUGGCUCACAAUAACUGUGACAGUGACAUUUAUUUGUACACUCCCUGGGCCUUUUGGAGUAUCAUUGAAAGCUGUCAUUCCUGUAGAUUUUCGCAUCUUAAAGAGGCACCCAGCCUAUUGUCGGAUAAACAGCAUUGAGGGAAACUAAAGGAUAAACAGAAAAAAUCUGUUGCACAGAUUCACAAUUGUAGCCAAAGUUUACCUUCAGUGAUUUCCUAAUCGCUACUGUAGCUCCACGUUCCCACAUGGUGAGGAGAUACGGCACUGACUGUGGAUUGUGCACGGUCGCAUUGUUUGCCCAAAACAAAGACGUUCUAAGUCUAUGUGACUAACUCUCCAAUGCUGUCGACUGUUAAAAUUUAGUUGAGAAACUCUGUACUACGCAUUACGGUGGAGAAGAUUCGAUGGGCCGAAUGGCCUAAUUCUGCUCCUAUGUUUUAAGAUUACAAAUCGAUGGGAACCGUUUGGCUGAAAUAACGUUAAACAAAAAAAAAACACAAACAUGGCAGUCAAUUAAGUUAGGUGACCUCAUCAAAUGCAUACUCAUCCCAACUUAAUCAACCACCAAUUACAGAGGAAUACGAUUACUUGUUGGCAAAACUUCUCGCAGACCUUUCCAUUAGCAUUGACCUUGCCGUGACCCAAACUAACCAGCAGACUCAUAAGCAGAGGAAUUUCCCACCACAAUGUAUGUCUCGUAAUUAAACUGAUGGUUCAUUUAUGUCCACUGAGGGAUCCUAUUUUAGAGAAAGGAACAUGCUGCCUUCUUUGAAUCAUUUGAGGAGAGACAUGUAAGGGUUGCUACAAACAUUCACUUGACUUCAUAAUGUGGGAGGGGCGCAAUAGAAUGGGGGGGUGCAAUGAUUUACUAUGCAACACAAAUGAAACUAUCCAGCCAGCUUUAAAUUUUGUGCCACCAUCUCAUCUUCCAAACAGACAUCAUGCUUCUCCGAACAUAUCCACGCUUCAUCCUGGUGCCAUUUGUAUUGUUUUUGUUUGAGUGAAACUUGCGACACUCAAGUGAAGGUGGUGAUAGCAGGAGGUUGGAAGGAAUCGAGAAUUAGAGUGAGAUUUUAGUAUCCCUUUUAGUAAACACUGGACUAGUGGGGCCUUGAUGGCAGAGGGCGAGGUUUAACACUAACAACAAAACUAAUGCAUCUCUGCUAAUCGUCUGUCACUGGCGAUUUUUCGUUUUACUGAACCAGGUUGCAAGUCUGUGUACCCUUAACUUCAUUAGUUGGGGAUUAUAUCUCCAUAGAUAUUUACAAGUAGUUUAAAAAGGACCCACGCUCUUCCCUGUUCUGGCAGUAUUAAGUAUUUCUAUGGAGUGAUGGGAGUGUCGCUUGUAGUCACAUAGUUAACAGGUAUGAGCCAGCUAUUUACAGAGCAAGAAAUAGAUCCAUGUUGUGUCUGUACCAUUAACUAACUUAAUUGCCUAAGACUUGUAAGAUAAUGUAUUUACAGCCAUUGUUACAAUUUAUAAUGUAUUUUUCUAAACCUUGUUUUUUGUAUGUUAUAUAUAACAUUCAAGAAUUUUUUCCUGAUAAAUUUAAAAAAAAAGUAUAGAAAUCCCACCUUUUUGAUAACUGAUCAAUGCCAAUGGUUUUUGUAGUAUAUUAUUGAAAGUACUCCACCUCUUUAUGUUAGCAACUUGAUGGCUUAGACAACUGGAUUCCUGCUUUUAUUUUUAACUUGCUUGCGUUUGAUUUCACUGAUACUUUGCGGUUUCUAUUAACCCUUGCAUUAUUUUAAUAAAUGUUAUAAUAUCAAACUACUAA